rnacentral:lncRNA from 1 species
AGUGGUUAUAUUCAUUGAUGAUGGGACAGAGGCACUUCACAUGAUUUUGUAGUGAUGCUAUGAAAUGUGUAUAUACAAGAAUUAUCACGCAUACAAGAUCACACACACGCAGAAAUCAC